CCUGUCUCGUACCGGAGGGGAUUUGGUUCAGAAGAAACAGUGGCAAAAGAAAAAAAUGAGCCAUAAGAGGCAGAGCUAUGUAUAGCUUCAUUGGGCAAUAAUUCAAAGACAGAGUGGGGCCAUGUUUACCUCAUAUGGCUCUGUUUUGGCCCUGCACCAGUCCAGAAGCAUCUGUUUGACGUUUUUAACGUUGGGUGCUGCAGAAGGAGGACAUUUCUGAGCCGAGGCUACGGCGGGACCGGCGGCGCUGAGGAUAAGAAAGAAAGUCGAGGAGAUGGAAACGCCGCGUGGACAGAAAUUGAUGAAGCCAAUCUGAGCAAACCACGGACUCACCUGCCCGCCGAUGGAGAGAUCUGACCGGCCGACCCUCGAGAGAUGCAGAGAAGCAAACCAAACUCAAGAAAGCUGAAAUGAUUUAAAUUACAACACAAGAUCUGACUCGGCGUCUUUAUGAACGUACUGUUUGCCGGUGGCUGUUGGUUCAUGGAUGCUCUGCCUACGCCGCCUCCUCCGCCCGUCUUCCCUCCUCCGCCCAGGCCCUGCUGCCUCAAGUCCUGCUGCCUCGACCCUCGAUCCUGCUCCCGUUUAUCUGGUGAGAGAUGAUGGAGGGUUUGGGAGGAGUGAGCGUCUGAGGAAAGGUGGAGAUGGUGUCAUGGUAAACCUGCCCGGUGAGCGUCCGAUUUGACCUCUCUUUUUCUUGAGCAGCUCCCUUAAUGCGGCGCGCAUCAUUCUCCUCUCCUCAAAAUCUGUUGCAUUGUCCAACUUACAGAGAAGAAAGAGAAACCACUGAUCAAAGUUCAACGGCUGGGUUAAAGGUCACCUACUUUUUCAAAUUUGGGAGGUGAUAAAGGUCUCGCUGUCAGAGUGAUGAAAGAAAAUCCAAGUCAUUCAUUUUCUCACGAUAAGUGAGACACAAACUAACUUCCCAAAAUCCCAAAUGUCUGGCUCACCAUCUUGUUGAGAACCUCUUCGUCCUCAAUAGCAGCCAGUUUUUCACUGGUCACAGAUGCUGAUCCGACAUCAGUUUUCGACUCCAUGUUUCUAGUCGAGGGAGCAAAGGAACAUGUGAUAUUCGCGUUGGAAUUGACAUUUUUCUGAAUUAUUUACAUUAUUUAGCCCAAACAGACCAGAUUCUUUUGGUUAUUUACACAAAGCAAAGUUGUGUGAGUCUAAAGAGACACAAAGUGAGCUGCCGUCUCUCUCAAGCAGUGUGUCUCAGCCACUAGCGGAGACGCACAACAGAACACGUACAAAUAUAGUAAUGGAGUGGAACGGGACCGUUCCUAAAAGGAUCUGAUAAUAGCGUAGAACACACGGCUAAAAAGCAGCCACACUCAGGCCUAAUGGCACAAAAUAGAAAGAAUUAAAUGAAAACACACCUUGAUAAUGUUGGAAUGUGUCACCUGUUCCUCAGGAUGCAAACCCGUGUGCCUGCAGGAGGACGGGGACCUUCUUAUGAGCCCGUUCUGGAGAGAGCCCCGGCUCUGACCUCACACCUCACACACCGCAGCGCUUCGCGAGGAUACGAGUCCGGAGAGCAAGUGGAGGUUGCAUGCGCAACCCAUCCAGGAUGGGAAGGAGGAGGAGGUGGAGGAGGAGGAGGAGGAGAAGUCUCCGUCACCCUCAGGAGAGGUUCUCCUCCUCCUGUCACAGAUCCCUGGGUCACGUGAGGUGAAGCCUCGUGGCACCAAACUGUCGCGGCUAAAAGCACAAUACUGCACUUGGCAACACUCGAUUUGGAGGGAGAAGCAGGAGACUCUUUUGGCUGGGAGACAAAGAGUUAAGUAGCGGGGGGGGAGAGAAGUGAGGAGCACUGCCUUAUUCAGGCACAAGGCUGAACGGUGUUUACAGAAGUAGAGGAAUCUUCACCAGCGAGAACAGAAAGCGCAGAGAGAGAGAGAAAGGAAUCUAGACGAAAACACCAAUAGCAAAAUACACUUCAGCUUCAACAGAGAUUGUUUAGGGUUUAAUAGUUCAGGCCGAUGUAGGAGACGGUAGACAAACUGCGCCCCCGGGUGGUGAAGACGCGCCACUACUUCAAAAUGGCCUCAACCCACGGUGACGUGAGGAACGAGGCCUGACCUGCUGAUGGAGGAGCACCGCUCACUCCAGCAGUGGGUUCGACAGACAAAUAAGCAACAAUGUCAACAAUUGAAUGCAUUUCUUUUUACGAAGAAAUAAUAUUAAACAUUUAACUAGUUCAAGCCUUACAACGUUUAGAUAUUUUCCAAAAUAUAUUUUCUAAACAGAACUCUAGAAGUUUAGCGGUGUAAUUUUGAUGGAAUCUUUAGUACUUUGAAAAUCUACAGAUUUAUCGAUAAUGAAAAUAAACUUAUGCAGCUUACGGAGACUUUCCCAUUUGGUUUUCACCAUCACAACAUGCUACUAAAAUAACUUAACAAGUUAGGAAUGAAUUACCUAACAAAAGUUAUAAUAUAAUAAUGUGUUCAUCCUGGGGGAGGGAUCCCUCCUCUGCUCUCUCUGUGGGUUCUUCUGUGCUCAUGAGCAGCUGUUUUGGGGGGUUUGUUCUGUGCUGAAUGUGAGGGUCCCGGGACAGAGGAGGUCGCAUGUGUUCACAUAUUAAAACCCUCUAAAGAAAAGUUGUGAUUUCGGGCUAUAACAAAAUGAAUUUGAAUUGUUGACUUGGUUACUAUUGUAAUUGUUUAUUAAUAUUUUUAUUCAAGCAAUUGCAGAUCAUGUGUACAUGAAUCACCCAUAAGUUUGCCCCCGAAAAGAAGCACCUGCAGUCGCUUUUGGCAAAGUAUAAAUCAAGAGAAAUUGAUAAAAUGAUAAAUAAAUUCCCUCUUUUCUUAUCUACAGUAUGUCCAAAUAAGGCAAAUGUUUCUUCUUUUUUUU